AGGAGCUGGGUGACAAGGGGCACAGGAAGCCCUGCAGCCAGAGGGCAUGAGCCUGGAUAACUCCUGCCUCACCCAUCUCUGUGCAGAGGGAGAGGCACAGUGUUCAUCCUGCGCCAACCCAAGCACAUUCUGAGGCCAGGCUGCAGUCAAAGACGACACUGAACAGUCCUCCUUUGCUUUUGAGGUUGCUAUGACAGCCAGGAAUUUGCAAACCAAACUGGACCUGGAAAAGAAUUCUGUCCUUGGCCCCAAAAGUUUGUGGUUCCAAACUGUUUGCUGAGGGUUCCUGCUGUCUACUUUGAUACCUGCCAGAUGGAAGGAUCUCGGAACCUGGAAUCUGGAAACAUCCCAGUGGAAAGGUUACUUGUAAGUUGUCUGAAACUGUAUUAGAUGGAAUGUAGGUAUGAUACAAGGAACUUUUUGGCAGGAAAAGUUGAAAAAUAUUACCACUGGUCUCAGAGAAAACCUCCUUAUCUUGAAAAUAUUUUAUACCCAUUUACUCUUCUGUGGUUUGCUAAGAACUUUCACAUAAAUUAUCUAAUUGGAUCUUUAUAUCUGCCUGAUGAAGUAGUCAGAGUAGAUAUGAUAUUCAGCCAAUGACAAGGAAAAUUAGGUUUUGUAAUAACAAGAUCCAUAGCUAAUGAGCAGCAGUACUGGGACUUGAACUGGGCUUUCUGACUCAAGGUCUUGCUUUUUUAAAUUCCAUUGUGAUGAUCAAAAACACAAAACAGACUACAUCUGACAUGGACAGUUUAGGAGCAGGGUUUUUAUUUAUAAGAAUGUGAUUUUAGGGGCUGGGGAUGUAGCAGGGAAUGAACUCAGGGGCACUCAAUCACUGAGCCACAUCCCCAGCCCUAUUUUGUAUUUUAUUUAGAGACAGGAUCUCUCUGAGUUGCUUAGUGCCUCACCAUUGCUAAGGCUGACUUUGGCAAUUCUCCUGCCUCAGCCUCCCGAGCUGCUAUGAUUAUAGGUAUAUUAUUGAAGAGGGAUGAUUUCUCCUCAUUGUGGUAAAAUACAACAUAACAAUCUACCAACCUUUUUUUUUUUUUUUUUUUGGAACUGGGGGUUGAACCCAGGGCUUUGGGAAUGAAAGGCAGAUACUUUGCCACUGAGCUACAUCCCAACCCAAUCUACCAACCAUUUUAAUUUAUUUAUUUAUUUUAAAUAACUUUUUUUUUUACGUGGUGCUAAGUAUUGAAUACAGUGCCUCACAUAUGCUAGGCAAGUGCUUUACCACUGAGCCACAACCCCAGCUACCAACCAUUUUUAAAAGCAUAGUUCAGUGGCAUUAAGUAGGUUCACAUGUGCAACCAACAUUACCAUCAUCUUCACAACUUUCUCAUCUUCCCAAACUGAAAAUCUAGACCCAUUCUGGAAGCUACCAUUUUACUUUCCAUUUUCUGAAUUUGACCACUCUAUGUAUUUCAUAUAAGUGGAAUCACGCAGUAUUUGUCCUUUUAAAACUGGCUCAUGUUCCUUAAUAAAUUUCAUUCACGUUGUAACAUGUGUCAGAAUUUCUUUCCUUUUUAAUACUGAAUAAUAUUGCUUUGUAUAGCUAUACCACAUUUUGUUUAUCUAUUAGUCUGUUGAUGAACAUUUGCUUCUACCUUUAGGCCACUGCUAUGCUAUUAUAAAAAUGGAUGUGCAAACAUAUCUUUAUGACCCUGUUAUCAAUUAUUUUUUGGGAAUUGCUGGAUUGAAUGGUAAUUCCAUUUUUAUGUUUUUGAGGAACCAUCAUACUCUUUUUCAUAGUACCAUUUUAUAUUCUUACCAAUAGUACACAAAUGUCUCAAUGUCAUCAACACACCUGCUAUUUUCUCUCUGUGUGUUUUUCUAUUAUUUUGCCAUCCUAAUGAAGGUAUAGAUGGAUGAAUUUUAAAUACAUGGUGGUCUAGGCUGGAAUAUUUGGAGAGAUUAGAGAAUGGUCCUAAUAAAAUUUGCUUAGCUUCCAGUUGACGUGCCAGCCCUAAGCCCAACAGAAAUCUUCAAAAGGCAUUGUACUAGUCACCAGGGAAAGCACUUAAAACUUGAGCAAAUCCAUGACUUGCUGUUAGGGAUAAUUAAAGUACAGAUUAUUUCCAUAGGAGUUUCAUGUCCUCCAUAUGAGCUGAGUUCAUUAUACAGAUGCUUAUUAGAUAAAGAUGCCUCCCUCCAUAGCUAGAGAGCUAUGUACACAGGAGAUGGUAGGAAUCUAUGUAGGUGAAGAUGAAGCUGGAUAGUUGCUAGAAGGAUGGCCAAGGGGAUUGGAAGAUGCUCUUCCCAAACAGCUCUAGAGUCUUAGAAGAUACUUCCUAUAGCUGGGUGCGGUGGCUCAUGCCUGUAAUCCUAACAAUUUGACAGGCUGAAACAGGAGGAUUUCAAGUACAAAGCCAGCCAUCAGCAAUGGCAAGGUGCUAAGCAACUCAGUGAGACCCUGUCUCUAAAUAAAACACAAAAUAGGUCUGGAUAUGUGGCUCAGUGGUGGAGUGCCCCUGAGUUCAAUCCCCAGUACCCAAAAGAAGUUAAUUCCUUUGUGUGAGCUUCCUUGUUUACUCUUUGUCUACCUUUGCACACUUCAGAGGGACUAGUUAGAUUGGACUUUUUAUAUAUUUUUUUGAAUUGUAGAUGGACAUAAUACCUUUAUUUUUCAUGUGGUGCUGAGGAUUGAACCCAGUGCCUCACGUGUACUAGACAAGUGCGGUGCCACUGAGCCACAACCCCAACCCUAGAUUGGAUCUUUAAAGGACUUCAGAAGAAAAUACUCUGUGAGUACCAAAUUUAACUAUAUCUGAUCAUCUCCAGAGUCAUAGUUGUGCCAUAGUUGGAUUCCCAUAAUGUGGCUUGGAACAAUGGAGACGCUAAGGGCUGCUGAGUUUGGGACUGGAAACCAUGUUUGAAUCUCCCAACCUCAGGAAGUCCUCCCCACCUCAAAGACCCCUGUGCCCCAGAAAGCAGUUCCUGAUGACCCACAUGACAGCACUCCAUACCACUUUCCAGAGAACUGCACUGUGCCUUUCUUAGACCCACGACUAUGCUGUAUCUUAGAUUUCUAAAAGAAUAUUAUAUACCUCCCCACCUCCCAUAAAUUGGAAGCUCCAUGGAGGCAAACUCCAGUUCUGGUUUGCACAAAGUAGAAAAUAGAGUUUACCAAAAGCUCCCUAACAAAAAUUUUUUUUUGUGCCUAACUCAUUGUCUAGACCUGUGUCACAUGACCCUCCUGGGGGACAUGGGAGACUAAGAAAGUGGACAUUUUUCUUUUUAGCCUCUUAGGUGGAUAUGGGCAAAAAUGGGUGUUAGGAAUGGGAUUGGAUGAGCGAGUGAGCUCUGUCUAUCUGCUUUCUCUUUGUACAGGUCACAUUCUCUGGGAGGAGACACAGUUGGGGGAGAGGCCCACCCUGAGUUCUGGGCCUGGGUUCAGUUUCCCCCCUGUGCCCUGCUGUGCCCUGCUGUGUCCAUCAUGGGUCCACACCAAGCACAUUUAGACUCAUCGACUCUCUACUGCAACUGUGCAAGAUGGGGGACAGAAAAGAAUGAUUGAUUUCAAUUAGGUUUUGCCAAUUCCUACAAUUAAUAUUCCUAAUUAUGUUUAUCUCAUAUUCAUUAGGAAUACAAAGAGCUGACAAGCACUGGCAUUUG
rnacentral:lncRNA from 1 species